ACAUUUGAAAUGUAAAAAAAUAAGGGACAGUGAAAACACCACUUUUGGGUGAAGUGGCAACGUGAUGUGUUGUUUAACUUCAAUCGGUGUUGUGACACGA
ensembl:snoRNA LOC120099460 small nucleolar RNA SNORA21